UACGUAGGGGGCUAGCGUUGUCCGGAAUCAUUGGGCGUAAAGAGCGUGUAGGCGGCCCGGUAAGUCCGCUGUGAAAGUCGGGGGCUCAACCCUCGAAUGCCGGUGGAUACUGUCGGGCUAGAGUGCGGAAGAGGAGAGUGGAAUUCCUGGUGUAGCGGUGAAAUGCGCAGAUAUCAGGAGGAACACCGGUGGCGAAGGCGGAUCUCUGGGCCUAACCUGACGCUGAGGCGCGAAAGCUAGGGGAGCGAACAGG
rnacentral:rRNA from 1 species